CCUGCAGAAAGGUAAGGAGAAGGCUUUAGAAGACAUUCCUACAUUGCGAAUGAACACAGAACUCAAGAGGCAAAAUUUACACCAGCAAACUCACGCCCUCGUGUUACACAGCUCAAUCUAUCAGCACAGAGUGUUUUCAGAAGAUCCUCAUUGAAAACAAAGGUCAAAAGAGACAAAAGAGAGACCUGUACAUGAGCAAGAUGGCGAAGAGAAGAAAGUGUGCGUGUUACGGCAACUUUCUUCUCCUCUUCCUUCUUCCACCCUCCCCCCUCUCAUUACAUCCAUGGUAAGUAAGCAGAACCUUUGAAAGCCCAAAGGCUGAGGACUGUUCUCACAUUACAGAGCCAGCUGCUGAAUUUUCACUUAUUCAUCACAAACUGUUCCAAAUGGGAUCUCAUUAAAGUACAUAUAUAUAUAUAUAUAUAUAUAUAUAAAAAGAGGGUUUUUUUGUGAGUAUGGUUGUUUUUUUUUUUUUUUUGUAAAUGAGAUCCCAUUUGGAGCAGUGUAUAUAUAUAUAUAUCAUCAAGGAGCCAUUUUGGGAAGAGGUGAAAAGCCCAUUGGUCUGUUACUUCAGAAGCAACAAACUGAACAUCACAAUCAUCUCUGUAUUAACCUGCUCCUACUCAAAGGGCCACUCUGCACAUCACAAAAGACCACCCACACACACCAAAUGACUAAUCCACAUUCAGCCCUAAGAGCCAGAACUCCCCUCCUAACACUUGACUGACUGCAAGGCUGUAAAAUGGCAGCCAACAUGAAAUACUUCCCUUCCUCCCUCCAGUGGGACUUGCACACUGGCUCCAACACUGAAGGCUCUCAUGUCAGGGAUCUUUUCACAGGUCUGCACUGAACUGCGUACUGUCACCAAGAAAACCAUCUCCAGGCCACCACCAUUCCCUCUCGGUGCACAGCGGCUGAAUGAGCAUUACAUUGCCGAAGUACAGAAAUUCUCUGUGUUCAAAACUAAAAGGGUGAAAGAAUCAACUGAAGUUGGCAGCUUUCCCUUUAACAGAAGCAGGAUCCGAACCUCUUGAAAACCUUCGGAAAUUUUUUGGUGUGUGCAAAUAUAUUAAAUAUUGAGACUCUCUGGAA